UACAGAGGGUGCGAGCGUUAAUCGGAAUUACUGGGCGUAAAGCGUGCGUAGACGGUUAUUUAAGUCGGGUGUGAAAGCCCCGGGCUCAACCUGGGAAUUGCAUUCGAGACUGAAUAGCUAGGGUACGGUAGAGGGAAGUGGAAUUCCGGUGUAGCGGUGAAAUGCGUAGAUAUCGGAAGGAACAUCAGUGGCGAAAGCGACUUCCUGGACCAGUACCGACGUUCAGGCACGAAAGCGUGGGGAGCAAACAG
rnacentral:rRNA from 1 species